ensembl:lncRNA
GUUUGUGUAAAAGCAGUCCUCCCUGACCAGCUCUGUCCCUGACUCUAAACCCUGACUCUCAACCCUAACACUAAACCCUCUGAGGGCAGGAAGACCCGCCUUCAGUGUAAAGGUUUGAACCACAGAGAAGGAAGAAAAGAGGAAGUAGUAGAGAGUAGUGAAGUAGUGAGGUUAGUGACAGACGUGAGGAAAAGGCGUGUGUGGAAGCACACGGUUACAUGUGGGGUCAAGAAGAUCACUCCCACUGGAGGUCAUUGAUCCAUCAGCCUCAGACAGCUGAGCUCAGCAGGUCUUCUGGAGGACGAGGCUCAGAUGAACUGAGGAGACGGGACCAGAAGGAUGUCAGGAUCAGGGCGGGUUUAGCUCAGGUGUGUCUACCCCCGACCAAACAGGAUCAGGUGAGGUUCAGCUCAGGUAUGUGAGGAAAAGGCGUGUGGAAGCACACGGUUACAUGUGGGGUCAAGAAGAUCACUCCCACUGGAGGUCAUUGAUCCAUCAGCCUCAGACAGCUGAGCUCAGCAGGUCUUCUGGAGGACGAGGCUCAGAUGAACUGAGGAGACGGGACCAGAAGGAUGUCAGGAUCAGGGCGGGUUUAGCUCAGGUGUGUCGACC